rnacentral:rRNA from 1 species
AGUCGAACGAAGCUUGACGGAUGAUUUCUUCGGAAUGAAACCAGAUAUGACUUAGUGGCGGACGGGUGAGCAACACGUGAGCAACCUGCCUUUCAGAGGGGGAUAACGGCUGGAAACGGUCGCUAAUACCGCAUGAUGUGUUCGGAUGGCAUCAUCUGGACAUCAAAGAUUUAUCGCUGAAAGAUGGGCUCGCGUCUGACUAGAUAGUUGGUGGGGUAACGGCCUACCAAGUCUACGAUCAGUAGCCGGACUGAGAGGUUGAACGGCCACAUUGGGACUGAGAUACGGCCCAGACUCCUACGGGAGGCAGCAGUGGGGAAUAUUGCACAAUGGGGGAAACCCUGAUGCAGCAACGCCGCGUGAAGGAUGACGGUUUUCGGAUUGUAAACUUCUUUUCUUAGUGACGAAGACAGUGACGGUAGCUAAGGAAUAAGCAUCGGCUAACUACGUGCCAGCAGCCGCGGUAAUACGUAGGAUGCAAGCGUUAUCCGGAUUUACUGGGUGUAAAGGGAGCGCAGGCGGGACUGCAAGUUGGAUGUGAAAUACCGUGGCUUAACCACGGCACUGCAUCCAAAACUGUAGUUCUUGAGUGAAGUAGAGGCAAGCGGAAUUCCGAGUGUAGCGGUGAAAUGCGUAGAUAUUCGGAGGAACACCAGUGGCGAAGGCGGCUUGCUGGGCUUUAACUGACGCUGAGGCUCGAAAGUGUGGGGAGCAAACAGGAUUAGAUACCCUGGUAGUCCACACUGUAAACGAUGAUAGCUAGGUGUGGGGGGUCUGACCCCUUCCGUGCCGGAGUUAACGCAAUAAGCUAUCCACCUGGGGAGUACGACCGCA